GCUGGGUGUAGUGGUGCGUGCCUGUAGUCCCAGCUACGUGAGAGGCUGAGGUGGGAUGAUCUCUUGAGCCUAGGAGGUCGAGGCUGCAGUAAGUGGUGAUUGCACUACUGCACUCUAGCCUAGGCUACAGAGUGAGACCCUGUCUCAA
rnacentral:SRP_RNA from 1 species